UGGGGAGGGGCCAGCAGGGCGACCUUUCUAGGCCACAUCCGCUCUACCUGGAGACAGGGGUGCUGGCCUCCCCAGCCCCUGGUGGCUGGACUUGGGCAGUGCCCCAGGUGGGUGGCGACAGGCAGCCCUUCCUUCCUGGUUCCUAGGGCAGCAGACGUGGGAAGCCCCAACCUGGCCUCUGGAUGUACUGAGUAGGUGCUGGGGUGUGUGCUCUGAGACCCAAGGCCCUUGUGGGCGUGGGGGAGAAACCAAGGCUAAAGUAGGUCUCCCCGCCCGCCCGCCUGCUGCCCUGACAUCCCACCCAGCCCUGGCUCUGUGCCAGCGAAUGCCGGAAUGGUGACUCACGAAGCUGCGAGCAGAGGAGGGAAGCACUGUGCACGCUGGAAGGGAGGGGGGGGAGGCCCCCUCAUUCUCAGCUUUCCCAGCAUCCCCAUCACGACCAGGACCCUUGAAGCCACAUCUCAGACUGGUCACACUGGCUCCCUCCCUCCUCCUCUUCCUCCAUGGCCCCCAACCUUCCACUUGGAUUUUUGUUCUUGAGACUAUGCUGGGCAGAAAGGCGGAAAUGAGCGUGGGGUGUGGAAUGUCCCUGAGGUUGGAAUAUAUUUAGGCCUGGACGAGAGACUGUGUGUGUGGUACCCAGCAGACCUCAGCGUCGGCCUGGGCUGGGGAAGGGUGCACACAAGGAGUGAGGUCCCGGCUCCGAGCCAGCGCGGGAGGCUCCCAUCUUCUCUCUUAGAGCUUCCUGGUUUCCCAACCGCCCUCCCCCACCCCUGCCCCGGAGCUGGAGAAGGAGUGGGAGGAACCCGAGGAGGCCCGUCAUUGACCUUCCGGCUGCAGCCCACGAACCAGCAUAUGAUUGCACAUCGGCUAUUUCUCCCUCCAACGGAAAUGAACAGCCAGGUGCGCUGUUUGAGCCGGGAGGCUGGGAGGAUUGCCCUUCACAACUGUCCUUCCAGGGUGUCCUGGGAAGGGACAGAGGUACUGCCGCUCCCUGCUUCCAGCGGCUGCGCGCGCCUCGUGCCGAACCAUCUGUAGCCGGAGCCUGAAUGUUCUCUGAUCCUAAGAAACCCCUCCCAUGAAGCUAUGGGUGCAGGAUGGGAGACAGAAGGACUCUGCACCACGGGACCUUUUGCUUAUAGCAAUGUGGGUCUAUGUUAUCUUUUAAAAAAAUUUUAAUCUUCAUUUAUUUUUGAGAGAGAGAGAGAGCGCCAGAGUGCGAGUCGGGGAGGAACAGAGAAAGAGGGAGACACAGCAUCUGAAGCAGGCUCCAGGCUCCGAGCUGUCAGCACAGAGCCCGUCGCGGGGCUCGAACUCACGAACCGCGAGAUCAUGACCGGAGCCGAAGUCGGAUGCUUCGCCGACUGAGCCAUCCCAGGCGCCCCUCUAUUAUCUUCAUGACGCUUUUUAAAGCCCCGGAUCAUCCUUCCAGACUCCCUGCUAUGGUAUUAGAAGGCGCAGAUGUGGGGGCAAGAGGUGGCGUUGGGACCAUCCGCAGCCCUCAUUUGCUAAAUGCAGCCUGCUUCCUGUUUCUGCACAGCCUGCGAGUCGAGAAUGGCCUUUUCGUUUUUAAAUGGUUGGGGAAAAAAAAAAAAAAAAACCCACCACGAUGUGAAAAUUAUAUGCAGUUCAGAUUUCAGUAUCCAAGGGGGUUGGAGGGAUAGGACAGAUGUUGUUGAAGGGUACAACUUGGCAACGAGUAGAAAAUAAGUCCUGAAGAGCUAACGCAGGGUAGAGUGGAUAUAUACAACAAUAUCAUAACCAUCAGAUUUGCUAAGAGACCAGAACUCUUGAUCGUUGCAACUCCGACCAGGAGAUGAUAAUUCCACGAUGCGAUACGGGUGCUAGUUAUCGCUCCGAUGGCAAUCGUAUUCCAACAGCUAAAUGCAUCAGAUUCACAUCUCGGACUCCUCGAAUUCACACGGUGUUCCCUGGCAAAUGUAUUUCCGUGGACUAACUCCGUGUCCGCAGAUAAAGUUUUAUCGACACACAGCUGCGCCCGUUCAUUUCCCUGUCGGCUGUGGCGGCCUUUAUUCGAAGUGGCAGAGUUGAAUCACUGCAACGGAGACUGCCUGCCUGGCCCCUCGAAGCCGAAAAGAAAAAAUACUUCCUGUCUGGCCUUCCCCCCCCAAGAAGUUCGCAGACCCCUGCUCUACAGGGCCUGAGAACCGAGCGUCAACCCGCCUCUGACUCAGGGCUUCCGGGGACGUUGCCUCAGUGCACCGGUCUCUUGAUGUGCUUUGUGCCUCCUCCAUCUGACCGUGAGCCCAUGAGAUAUGGACAGUGGCCGUCUUACUCACUACUGGGCAUGCCCUCACUGCUCCUGGACCUGUGCCCGACACACAGCUGGUGUUCAACAUAUAGGAGAAGGACUGGCAGAAAGCAGGGAGUGGUCAGCCGUGGGGGGGGGGGGAGCGGGAGAGGACUGAGGGGGGAGGUGGCGGGUGGUGUUGUAUCCCUGGCCACCGGACGUGUGGGGGCCAGUCCCGGGCUGGAGCCCUGUGGGACCAGCAGCCAGGAGCAGGAUGUCCUUGUGUCCUCAGUGAGGUAAGUUCCUGGGGCAGGUUUGACUCGCCUUGGCUCAGGGCAUCCGCACCAUUUGCAACUUCUUUCUUUUUAUAACAAGAUUUAAUUUUUUUUUUUUUUUUUUUU